AAGCAAAUUUUUACUUAAUUUUUUUAUUCUCUUGUUUACGAAGAUGAAUAUCUUUUUUCUUAAAUAUUUUCUGGUCCGAUAGAAGUGAUUCUUUCGACGGCUAAAGUUUUAAAACGAACAGUGCCAGUUUAGAAGCACAUACAAUAAAGCAGUGGUUGAAAUUUUACCCAGGGACAGGGUUGCGCUAACCUAGCUUUGAACAACCGGCCCCAGAUUAUGAAAACAUAUAAACGCAACAUGUCUUCGUGAGUGACCAGUGAACUGAAUAUAACUGAGUUAUUUUACUUAUUUAUUACAUUUCACUGGUCAUUGGUCACCAGUCACCACCAAGGCAGAUAAAACCAGGAACAACGGAACGGGGAACACCGGAACAGCGAGGAUCCAAAACAGAACAGCAAAAACAUUGUUUUAAAUAUUGACAAAAAAUAUCGGGUUGAUAGCUAUGAUGCUGUACAAUGAAACUGUUAUUCAAAUAAUAUUGCCAAGAAAUGUGUCUGACCCUCUCUGUUCUUAUGCAACAGCAUUCUCUAGCUCGUCGCUACAAUUACUUAUUGUUUUUAUAUUAUCAAUUCCAGGUUCGCAUUGCAUAGCAAAAGACGUCAUUUGUACAAAACUAUUAAGGUAAGUCAAGGUAUUUGCUGUGAGGCAAGCAUUACAGCAGACAUACACUGUAUUCACGACUUUACUAUUUUGCUAAAACCCAAGUGUAAAAAAUAUUAACGGGUAUGAUAAAGAGUCUGUUAUUAGAGCUUCGCAAUAAAGCAGAGCAACCGAUUUGAAAAGUCGUAUACGAGUGCAAAAGGUAAUAUUCAUAAUCAUUGUUUUACAGUAUUAUAGCUACUGUAUGUUCUUUUUUCCUAGCAUCACAGAAGAUUUUUUGCCCACUAUAAAAAAGUUGUUUUUGUGGUUUUGUGUUUCGCAAUGCUGUUUCGGUAACAUCAUUUUUGUUUCAGCUUCCGCUGUUCCGUGUUUCCGUCUUCCGCUGUUCCUGGACCUAACACCCGUUGAGCAAUGUAACAAAAUGAGAUUGUCGAAUAUGUCAACCGUUACGAUGUUUUUCAAUACUGAAAUUGAAUUUCUGCAACUGAAAAUCUGAAAUCACCUGGUGAAUUAUGGCUUAUAUAUCAUUUUUCAACUCAUAGUGAGAAUAAAGAAUGGAUGGGGAUAUAUAAUUAAUGGUAACCAUUACGUGCAAGCCAACUAGCUGGAGGACCAUGGUCCAACGUGUCAUCUUGUAGAUCCUAAAGCUCAAUGCUAUACUUUCUGGGCCAUCGUUCUUUGAUUUCUCAAUAAAGAUUUGUCCAA